rnacentral:lncRNA from 1 species
CGACCUUUGUCUCAUGCUUUUUUUUUCAAAAUUACAUAGACAUGCACAUGGAAUGUGGUUCGAUUUCUACUCUAUACGGCCCAAAAUGGAGCCAUGGGAUCACCGGACUGAACCAACAAGGUCGUGGCUAGGUCGGGUUACCCAUGACUCCGGCUUCGUCAAAGAACCGACCCAUGUCGCACGGUUGCAGACCGGGGUGGGUACCUUUGACGUGAAGAAAGAAAUUUCGGGGUUAAGGUGGGCGACUCGUACUACGUGAUUGUAGUCGGAGUGGUAUCCACCUCAACACCAUCCUAAGUGAUCCUAUGCGGCCUAGGUCCGGCGGCAGGUUGUGUGUGCCAUGGUGUAGUGCAAUGCAGAGAAUACAUGCACAACAAUUUAUAGGCAAACAACACUCCGUACAUAAAAAUAAACCAUACAUUCCUACAUUUCCCUGCAAGACAAAGGUGAACAAACACUUCCCCUUAUACCUCCCAUUCUGUAAGAACAUUUAACACCUACAAUGUUAGGGGCGUACCUGGAAUCCUCGCUGCCAAACAAAAAUACUUUUGAACAAGAUUAAUU